rnacentral:rRNA from 1 species
ACGUGGGUGAUCUGCCCUGCACUUUGGGAUAAGCCUGGGAAACUGGGUCUAAUACCGAAUACACCUCGCUGGCCGCAUGGUCUGGUGGGGGAAAGCUUUUGCGGUGUGGGAUGGGCCCGCGGCCUAUCAGCUUGUUGGUGGGGUGAUGGCCUACCAAGGCGACGACGGGUAGCCGGCCUGAGAGGGUGACCGGCCACACUGGGACUGAGAUACGGCCCAGACUCCUACGGGAGGCAGCAGUGGGGAAUAUUGCACAAUGGGCGCAAGCCUGAUGCAGCGACGCCGCGUGGGGGAUGACGGCCUUCGGGUUGUAAACCCCUUUCAGCACAGACGAAGCGCGAGUGACGGUAUGUGCAGAAGAAGGACCGGCCAACUACGUGCCAGCAGCCGCGGUAAUACGUAGGGUCCGAGCG